rnacentral:rRNA from 1 species
UCGAACGAAGCGCUUAAAUGGAUUUCUUCGGAUUGAAGUUUUUGUGACUGAGUGGCGGACGGGUGAGUAACGCGUGGGUAACCUGCCUCAUACAGGGGGAUAACAGUUAGAAAUGACUGCUAAUACCGCAUAAGCGCACAGUGCUGCAUGGCACAGUGUGAAAAACUCCGGUGGUAUGAGAUGGACCCGCGUCUGAUUAGCUAGUUGGUGGGGUAACGGCCUACCAAGGCGACGAUCAGUAGCCAGCCUGAGAGGGUGAACGGCCACAUUGGGACUGAGACACGGACCAAACUCCUACGGGAGGCAGCAGUGGGGAAUAUUGCACAAUGGGGGAAACCCUGAUGCAGCGACGCCGCGUGAGCGAAGAAGUAUUUCGGUAUGUAAAGCUCUAUCAGCAGGGAAGAAAAUGACGGUACCUGACUAAGAAGCACCGGCUAAAUACGUGCCAGCAGCCGCGGUAAUACGUAUGGUGCAAGCGUUAUCCGGAUUUAUUGGGUGUAAGGGAGCGUAGACGGUUGUGUAAGUCUGAUGUGAAAGCCCGGGGCUCAAUCCCCGGGACUGCAUUGGAAACUAUGUGACUAGAGUGUCGGAGAGGUAAGCGGAAUUCCUAGUGUAGCGGUGAAAUGCGUAGAUAUUAGGAGGAACACCAGUGGCGAAGGCGG